GACGAGAAGAAAGAAAUAGAAGGAUAACCUUUCGACGAAGUCUCUCGACACGCUCUAUCGAUCUAGUCUACAGAGUUACAGAGCCACUUGCGAACCACUUGCAACGAGUCGAUUCCGCCGCACGCGUGCUGCCUUACGUUAGUUCGGACCGCGAUACGAUCGUCGCGUGCACGAGGCUUCGUUGCAAUUUGACUUAAUGCCGUGUUUAAAUUCACCGGCGAACCAGCUGCUUGCAUCGGUACGUAGCUCGCGGCGCUGUAAUAACCAGAUAACGGGCACGAGAUCCUGUUGCAAUUCGAAUUCGAAAGGGAACUCGAUCGGAGCGCGGGAAAGGACGAGAACUAACCGGGGAGAAGAAAUUUUCCUCUCGUCUCUUCGAGCGAAAGCACCGAGGGAAGGACGACGGUCGGUCGAAGCAAGCCUCGUUACGCGGAAGGACGUCAACGCGGAAACGGUGUUACCUCGCGUUGCAAAAUGAAAGAGACUAACGGGGGGAAAAAGCGAGCUCCUCGUCUUGGAAGACUACGGAACUCCAUCGAAUAUUACGAAAGUUACGUUCCUUCCACCAGAGAAGACUCCCAACUACCAGACGUUCCAUAUUCCGGCAAUCGUGAAACAGAAGCGCAGACAUUCGAGUAACCGUGCGCUUUCUAAGCGAGUUUCCGCAACUCCGGUAGCCACCGAUCAGAUCGAACUUCCGCGUAUCUAUCCACGCGCAAACCUUUGGACACGACGUUCCGCCGGAAGAAUACCAACGUAUUUCGAUAUUCGCGAGUAAACCUUGUUUCAUACGAAAGACGAUAGAAAGAAAUUUAUUUUGAUAUCCAUCCUAUCUAUACGUUUCGUAUCGCGAAUCCUCGCAAACCGAUUUUUACAUGUCUGGCGCGUCGUUUCAUCGACGAUACGCAUAUACGCUUUCGUUCGAUAGGAUAAGACGAGUCGAUUCGAAGUAGUACGCAUCGCGUAAAACCACGCGCUUUAUCGCGGCCUAAUUUCCACAACGCGACGGUAGUUAAGACGUCAGAGAGCGUUUCACGCGUUGAACGUCCCCUAAAUUAAACGACCCAAUUUCAUUGUCGAAGCUCAAGUGCCUUGCUUCGAUUCUCGCAUAUUCCGUACAUCGCGUCGCGACUUCUUCGUUCCGAUCGUCGAUGGGCAUACCGAGUUCCGAGUUGUAACGCUUAGGACGAUGGCGAUGAGACGCGAACGGACGAAAUAUAAAAGACGGACGAGGCUGGAAACGACAGAUCGCGUCGAAAGUGCGUUUUCGACGGGAGCUUUGUGCCUCGAUCGUCAGAUCGAUCGUUACUCCGACGGAGAGCUACAAGCAAAUACGAGUAUGUACCCAGGUCUGUUUGAAUAGCGUUAGCAACGUGCAUUGUCAGUGGUCGUUGUUGAUCGAACGUACGCGAAACCCAAGUUGUUUCUGCCGUGAUAGUCGCGUGGCAAAAGAAAAACGAAGAUACCGUUUCGAAGAAGAAUAUAAACGUAAAACGAAAACUCGAACGCGGUUAAUCGCAGAUAGAGUCUUUUGAUGGAAGCGUUGUCGGGCGCCCAUUCGCGGAACUGACGCGAUUGCGACGAAAAUUGGAGCGGCGACAUUUCGAUUAUCAACGCGUCGUGGAAAACUCAAUUUUCCAAAGUAUCGCGGGGAUGUUGCGCAGCAAAUUUGCUGAGCUCGAUUCACCCGUACGAACCCGUGACCGUAUUCGAUUGCUGUUACGCGCAUAAUAUCCGAUCAGAGAUGACGUUUUGCCACCGCACUUUACAAACGCGAUAAUAACGAACGCGACGGUAAUUUUAUCAAGCCUGUUCGCACCUAAGUUAAUCGUAAAUGGGAAUUUUGCAACUCGCGUAACUUGUGACCUUCGCAAAGAUCGCGAGACGCAUCGGACGACAAAGCGAUAGUCGAAAAUUUCUACCGCACGUUUCGUGACGCGCGCUACGAUAAUGGAAAACGAUACGAAAAAUUCACUUUGGAAGACCCUUUCGUACUACGUUAUCGUCGAAGAGAGAAAAAAGAAAUUUAUCGGAGGACGAAGAAGGCUCUUCUAUCUAUCUGCAACGGAGCAACUCCAUCGGGAAGAAAACGUCGAACAACGACGAUUAUUUUUCCCCCAUUUCCCCGUUUCUAUUUGGCCGGCUAGUUUCCGAUUGACUUUUUGCGCGUAUUCCCCAAUUCCAAUGGAUCGAUGGCCGUCGAACCGAGUCACGAAAUAUUUACGAAUUUCUUCACGAAGGGAGAUAUCGGAAAAACGACGUUUCUUGCGAUUUUGCCUGGGAAUGGUAUCGACGUAAGCUCCAUUCGUCGCGAUCGGCGUAAACUCCAUUUCACGGUUGUCCGCGCACAAAACGGUAAUGUCGUGUCGAAGAUGGUAAUAAAUAGAAAUUUGGAAAUCGGACAGGCGUGUGUCUGACGGAAAGCGCGUCGAUUGAAAAACCCGUCGAAGGUGAAGACUACGAGGAACAUUUGGCGCCAUUUCUCAUCCAGAGACUCCUCCUCGGUCGAAACGAUUAGUUAAGCGCGAACGCAGAGAGAAAUAAAAUCAUGGUAGAACGAACAAAUUGGAAGGAAAUUGUUCGUGUAAAGAGGAAAAUCGUUUGAGAGGCACGCGAAUAAGAAUCGGAAUUUGCGAACUGGAAGAUCUCGUUGUAAAUAUUCGAGCGAAAACUUUCAGCUUCGAAAGAAGAAAGGAUAAGAUAAGGGAAAAGCGGCUUAUUGUCGUUGAUAAUUGCAAUAAAGAGAUAUUUGUACGAGUAAACGAUACGUCGAUAGGGUACAUCGGUACGUUGGUAAAGGAAGGACGUGACAGAACUUGUUUACUCGAGAGGAAGUACGGCACACAGGGAACAAAACAGAGGCACGAAAAAGCGACGUGGACGUCAGCGAAAACGCGGCUUUCUACGAUACCGCUCGUCUCCGUUCCGGUCCCUGAAUCGUGCGUAUAACGCGCAUAAACUGAAAACAACGAUCUCGAAGUUGGUCUGGAAACGCGAACUAGUCGGCGAAGCAUCGCGGCAAUUUAAUAUCGAGCGGAAACCAACCGUAGAUCGUAGACGAAAGGCGGGAGACAAAGAGCCGAGACGCGCGCAUCGUGCACAAGUUUCUCCAACUCUGCGAAAUUUCCUACAGUUAGCUGAUGUAUGUA